CCUACGGGUGGCUGCAGUAAGGAAUAUUGGUCAAUGGACGCAAGUCUGAACCAGCCAUGCCGCGUGGAGGAUGAAGGUCCUCUGGAUUGUAAACUUCUUUUAUUUGGGAAGAAACCCACGAUUUCUAUUGUGGUUGACGGUACCAGAUGAAUAAGCACCGGCUAACUCCGUGCCAGCAGCCGCGGUAAUACGGAGGUUGCAAGCGUUAUCCGGAUUCAAGGGGUCGAAGGGGUGCAGAGACGUGCGGGGUGAAAUCCCCGAGCUUAACUUGGGAACUGCCGUUGAUACUAUCGGUCUUGAAUACUGUGGAGGUAAGCGGAAUAUGUCAUGUAGCGGUGAAAUGCUUAGAUAUGACAUAGAACACCUAUUGCGAAGGCAGCUUGCUACACAGUCAUUGACGCUGAGGCACGAAAGCGUGGGGAUCAAACAGGAUUAGAUACCCGGGUAGUC
rnacentral:rRNA from 1 species